rnacentral:piRNA from 1 species
UAGAAGACUGACUCUUUGCUGCUGCC